rnacentral:rRNA from 1 species
AUUGAACGCUGGCGGCAUGCCUUACACAUGCAAGUCGAACGGUAACGCGGGGGCAACCCUGGCGACGAGUGGCGAACGGGUGAGUAAUACAUCGGAACAUAUCCAGUAGCGGGGGAUAACCUAUCGAAAGAUUGGCUAAUACCGCAUACGAUCUACGGAUGAAAGCGGGGGACCGCAAGGCCUCGCACUAUUGGAGUGGCCGAUGUCAGAUUAGCCAGUUGGUGGGGUAAAAGCCUACCGAGGCGACGAUCUGUAGCUGGUCUGAGAGGACGAUCAGCCACACUGGAACUGAGACACGGUCCAGACUCCUACGGGAGGCAGCAGUGGGGAAUUUUGGACAAUGGGCGCAAGCCUGAUCCAGCCAUGCCGCGUGAGUGAAGAAGGCCUUCGGGUUGUAAGCUCUUUCGGUGAAGACGAAACGGUUAGUGUUAAUAACACUGACUAAUGACGGUACUCACAGAAGAAGCACCGGCUAACUACGUGCCAGCCGCCGCGGUAA